rnacentral:rRNA from 1 species
GACGAACGCUGGCGGCGUGCCUAAUACAUGCAAGUCGAGCGGACGGAUGGGAGCUUGCUCCCAGACCGUCAGCGGCGGACGGGUGAGUAACACGUGGGCAACCUGCCUGUAAGACUGGGAUAACUCCGGGAAACCGGGGCUAAUACCGGAUAACUCUUUCCCUCACAUGAGGGAAAGCUGAAAGAUGGCAUCUCGCUAUCACUUACAGAUGUGCCCGCGGCGCAUUAGCUAGUUGGUGGGGUAACGGCUCACCAAGGCGACGAUGCGUAGCCGACCUGAGGGGGUGAUCGGCCACACUGGGACUGAGACACGGCCCAGACUCCUACGGGAGGCAGCAGUAGGGAAUCUUCCGCAAUGGACGAAAGUCUGACGGAGCAACGCCGCGUGAGUGAUGAAGGUGUUCGGAUCGUAAAACUCUGUUGUCAGGGAAGAACAAGUACCGGAGUAACUGCCGGUACCUUGACGGUACCUGACCAGAAAGCCACGGCUAACUACGUG